UGGGAUACAGCCUUAGCCAGCCCUGUUGUUAUUUUAAAUAGGUCUUUGUUUGUAGGUGAUUUUCCCGGCCCGAUUUUCUGUUACUACAUUUUUCUAUAAAGGUAGAAGCCAGAGAGGUUGGUUAGGAGUAGCGUGAAUAGGAUAUUUUGAGAAUUCCCUAUCAGUGGGGACAGCAGGGAGGCUCAGCCUGCUUUGAUUUACAGAAAAUAGAAAAAUAAGAAAAACUGGGGUGGGGGGGAGGGGGAGAAAGAAAAACUCUUCUUAAUUUAGAUUCAUGUCCUUUUUUCAUUUCAUGUCUUUUAAAGCAAGUCCCAAGAGCUCGUCCUCGAGAGAGCUCCAAACCAAACAGACCAGAUUUAAAGCACUCAGUGGAAAUGGAAAACCACACUUUAAUAACAGACUGGUGUCAGCUCCUCUUCUGAGUCCUUGAAAUUCCGUGCUGGCCUCAGGCCAGGGGCCCUUUGGCCCGUGGGAUCCCUUCCCUCAGGAGCCACAAUGGUUUCCCCGUUGAGUCUGGUGGCUCAAGGUUGACGUUUUUCAGGUGAGCAGCAGCUGCUCUCGGGUACACAGCAGAACACUGAAUUCCUUUUUGGAAAGGGAUUCCUUUUGCAUCCAGCCCCCCAGGUGCAUGCACUGAAACUGGGUUUUUUAACAGGUGUAUUUCCCUGGUUUCCCCAUGUAUCCCAUAUGUGCACUUUGGGUUUGUAGCAGUCAGGAGGUUUGGUGAAGAGCUGAGGACUUUGUUGCAAACCAGGAAUGUCUUGGGCUCACUCUGGUGUGCAGGAAACAAGGAGAACCUGAGUUCUGUUGUGGGGUUUUGGUUUUAUUGCCUUUUUUUUUUUUUUUUUUUUUUUGGUGGGUUUUUAUUUUGUUUUGUUUUCCAAGAGUUGCAGGUUCAGUGGGGUCUGGUUCCACAGUGCAAACUGAGCAACAAAUCUGGUGGACUGCAGAAGACAACCGCAUGGAAUACCAAGCUCUAAUGGACCUUUGGGAAGAGAAGCUGUGGCUUAUGUGGAAUUUACAUGGGCCUCCUGGUGGAAGAAAGCUUAUCUGUUUAGUAUUUGUGCAUUUUACUAAAAUGGCAGCUUUAAAAAAAAAAAAAGUUGUGUAUCUGCUAUUGUGAUGCCAAUGCCCGUGUUUUAAGUGGAAAAAAAAAUGACCUCUUUGCUUUGUGCUGUGUACACAAGAUUGCUGGAAAAGUAAAGGAAUACCCUUUUUAUGGCUCACACAGCUUAAAAGUAGCUGUCACUCAAACAUGCGCUCACAGUUGAGCUGAUUUUGUUUCAUUCUAAAUAAAUUGUUUCUUUUGAGGAAAAUGGUUUUUCUGCCUGGAAGUGAAUUGACGACAAAAAAACGUUUGGCCCCUGUGUUGGCAGCGGAGGGGUUCCUGCUGCUGCCAGAUUGAGCUGAUAGUUGUGGGUCUUGAGCAAGAAGCAGGGAGAGCACCGACACUUUUCGACCUGUGGUACCAGUCAGAAGAAUUGUGCCCGAUGGCCUUGCUGUGGCCCCCGUGUUUGCAGUGAAAAAGGGGGCACUUGCUGCGUUUCUCCUCAGCGGGACGGGGCAGCCGUGCUGCUGCUGGCGCGCAAGAAGCAGGGGAGCACCGCCCUGCGCCUCGGAACGGUGGCCAACUCUGGGCCUUCGCUGGUUGGAAGAGCUGGAGUUCCUGAAUUUUAAGUUCUCUGAUUUGUUUUGUUCACCCAACACGUUUGCCUUUAGUUUUGAUUCUUGGUUGGUUGUUUUUGUUUUUUUUAAUUUUGAAGAAAAAAAAAAAGUUCUGAGAUUGCUUUGAAUCUUGCACGUAAAAACCUUUGCACCAAAAUUGCCAAAAGAAAAAAGAGAAAUGAGUCCUUAAAAGUGUUUAAAUGCUGUUAAUAAAGCCUUUCCUGCCAUACGCGAGGCGCUCCUCCAUCUCCAGGGGCUUUUCAGCAGUUGUGGGUUUAGUGCUGAAUGGAUGAAGAGUUCCUGAGAGCUGGAGGCGGUAAUUUUAAACCUUUGCGUGGUGUCUCAGUGCCUUAUUUUGACCGGUUUUGAAGCCAGUGGUUCCACACGCCUCGGAUGUGCAUGUGCCCUGCUCGCGUCCCGGCCCCGCCGCGCGCUCCGUGCAGCCGCUCCCGGUGUAGCGCAGACAGGGAGAGGAGAAAGCCGGAGGCGGCCCGAAACAAACAGUCGUGGCUGUAGUUCUCCUGUGCCGGGGCUCUGAGCUUUGGAAGGCUGUUCCCGUGCAGGAGCACCGCUCCGUGUUCGCUGCAGGACAUCGAGAGGAAGCCGCCACCGCUGCGUCGUCGGCGUCAGGAGCUCCCGCCUCGUGCUCGUGGGAGAAUUCUUGUGACGUGCCAUGAGGACGCCUCCGAGGGCAGCUUGUUUGCCUUGACACAGUUUAACCUCCGUGGAUACCCCCUGCGGCCGGGCAGGGAUCUUUGCUUGGCUGCAGAUGCCUCUCAGUCGAUGGAUGUGCUCUGCAAGGUGUCUGCUCCCGGGGCAAAGCGCUGUGCAAACCCCUAAAGCAGCACGAGGUGUGAGCAGAGGAGUGUUUGACCACCAGCUGCUGCCCUGGGCCUGCUCAGGGGGAAGACAAAGGUUUGAAGACUUCACCCCCUCCCAGCCCGCUGGCAGGAUGGUGCAGGGCUCCUGGGGAGGAGUUUCUCAGUGUGGAGUUGGUUUCCUCAACAGUUUAGGAUAGACAAGAGGUUUUUCCUCAGUGCUGUGGCAGUGACUGUGCCUGGGAGGGGAAUGGCCCCACUGCAGCGUCCUUCCCGCAGGGAGAGGGCUCCUGGAGCUGCUGAUCCCCCUGGAAGUGUCACCCUGAGCUCCCUGCCCUGCAUCCCUCCCCGGGCCAAUGGGGUGUGAACAGGAUGAGCUGAAAUCUCUGCUGUGCUCGGGCCCUGCAGCUCGCUGGCUGCUCCCACGAGUGGGCUAAAGGUGGCUGCUGGAAGAUCCUGUUGGAUUGCUGGGAUGACUUGCACGUGUUGGUAUUUGCAACAUCUGGGCUGCAAACCCCCUGUUCUCCAGCCUUGUCUUCUUGUGAGCAGACCUUGGCUAAUAGGAGAGACCCCAGGCCAGGAGCUGGAAGUGAAUUUGAUAAAAGUGGCUCUGGGAGGACUUAAAAGGAAAAGCUGAAUUCCAUCGAGCCUCAGGAGUCUCUGGAGGAUGCAGGUCACCUUUUAAAGUGACCUCCAAGUGUUGGGUUUGGUCCUGGCAAAUCAUCUCGGGUCUGGGCAGUCCUUUGAAAGGUGGAGAAUUCCUCUCUUGGAAUCCAAAAUCUGCAGAGUGGUGGGAGAUGCUGCUGCACAUAAAAAUGCAGUCCCAGGUGUGGUGUGGGAUGGUGGGUGAGGGGCAGCAGCUCUGCUCUGGUGUGAAAUGAGUUCCUCUGGAGACACCAUGGGGUGACACCCACGGCCUUCCGUGAUUCACACAAACAGCAGAUCCAGUCUGGGACCCUUAAACCCAGCAAGGGACAUCUGAGAUCCUGGGCUCAGACACGUGGGAGGAAAGGGUCUGGUGAAAUUUGGGAUCUGAGCUGGAGGGAGGCCCCAAGAUUCCCUGCUGUAGACUUCCACAGCUGCAGGAAGGUUUGUAAAGCACAGGAGAAGCUGCCUGUGCCCAGUUUCAGUUUCUGUUGGCUCCCUGCUGUCCCGGGGGCAGUCCCUGUGUUUGCUCCUCAGGGAUGUGGUGUGAGCUGCAGCUGGAGAGGAGGAUCCACCCCAGGGGGCUGCUCUGGGGCCUCUCCCAUGACCCUGAGGCUGCUGUGGAGUGCUUCAUUCCCAGGGGUGGGAUCUGCCCGGAAUCUCUGGGAUUUGGGGAGGAGAUGGGAUGCUGAUGUCGUUAUUUGUGAGAGGAGCAGCACAGAGUGCUCCAGAUGAGCCCUGAUUUAUUGCAAUUCUUAAAAUAUCCUUCAGGAUAUUAGUUAAUUUUUUUUUUUUAAUUUUCUUGGGGGUUUUUUGGUGCUGAAUGGGAUUUAGGUGCAGUGGGGUUUAGCAGCACUGCCAUCAACUUCCACCACACCCCAACCUUUUGAAGCAACUCCAGUCUCUGUGCCCCCCAUUCUUUUCCAAAACAAUAAUCACUCCUGCUGCAGAGAGCUGAACUGGGAGCUUGUGGUGUUCAAACCCCAGGCAAGCAGCAGUUCUGUAAGGAAUGCUGGUAAAUCCCAGGCACCAAUGUGAUCCAAACAAAACAUUCCUGGCACUGCUGGUGCUGCCAGCUGGGUCAGGCUGUUUAAAUGGUGCUGCUGAUCUUGAAGCAGAAGUUUUAUUUAUCCCUGAUGCCCUGAGGAGCUGAAUUCAGUGGGAAGGUUAAGGUAAAAUUUAGAAAACCUCUGAAUAUGAAUAUUUGGGCAACUCCAUCCUCUCCCCUUUCACCACCCAAACUUCUUGGGACUGGAUUUCAUGCUCUGAGGGCUGGAAUCUCUUCUAGAAUUUGCAUUACAUGCUUUGGUUCAGCUCUUUUGCACUCUGAGUCAGUGAUUUGUACUGCUUGUGAAAAUAAACUGUGCCCUUCUCUCCUCAGGCUGCUCGUGGCUGCCAGAAUAAUCUUUAUUCUGCUUUGGGUUGGGUUUUUUCAGCGUGGCAGCAUCCAGAGGUGCCAGUGGGUGGGGAGCUCUGAAGGAGACUCCAAACUUUCCCUUUGGGUCCUGCCAGCUGCCCCUGGAUUUCAGGGCUUUCAGCUGAACAGAUUUGCAGAAAACCCCUCCUGGGAUGGAUCCCUGAAGGAGAGAGUGAACCAGCAGCGUGUUCUAUCCCUGGAUUCCUGGGCACAAGAGAUGAUUUGAUUCUUUUUCUGGGGGAUUUCCUCUUCAGCUGCGGCUUUGGAAGGACUUUGCCCCUGGAUGUCUGAUCCAGCCUGGGAUCUGUUCACCUCCUUCAGGCAGGUGUGGGAAUUACUGGGAUGGGA